rnacentral:lncRNA from 1 species
GAAGGAGGAGAAGCUCCGCGAGAUGGAGGAGUUCAAGAGGAAGCUUCGCCGCCGGAGGGAGGAGAGGCUGCUCCAGGCCGCCCGGCAGAGCCCCUGAGCCCCCCGAUUCCGAGGGGGACCCCAAAGGGCCCUGAGCCCCCCGAUUCCGAGGGGGACCCUAAAGGGCCCUGAGACACCCCACUACCCGAUACCGAGGGGGACCCCAAAGGGCCCUAAAGACCCCCCCAAUGGGCCCUGAGCCCCCCGAUUCCGAGGGGCUCCCCCAAAAAGCCCUGAGGCCCCCCAAUACCCAAGGGGGCCCCAAAGAGCACUGAGGCCCCCUAAUACCCGAGGGGGACCCCCAAAGGGCCCUGAAAAUCCCCAGGGUCCCCCCCAAAGUGCCCCGAGAUCCCCACUACCCAAGGGAGGACCCCAAGACCCCUCCCCUCCCCGAGAGGUCCCCCAAAAGGGCCCAGAGACACCACUAAUACCCAAGGGGGCCCCCCAAAGAGCGCUGACAAUCCCCGGGGUCCCCCCCAAAGUUUCCCUCCAAACCGGGGUCCCCCUCGAGGAAAUGACACGUUCGCUCCAUAAAAGCUCAGCUCGUCU